ACGAUCUCAGAUUGAGCCGCGCCAAUAUCACUUUCUAUCAUGGUUCGUAUUGCAGUGCUCCAUUCUCUCUUAAAACUACUCUUCAUAUUAAUUUUGAUACUCUUUAUAGAAGAAACCGUUAUCUUUCCUUUAGCCCAAUUGCUUCCACAAUUGUAUAAGAAACAUACUAUUCCAAGUAGUAUUUUAUAUUAGUUGCAUAUUAGAUUUGAUGGAAUCAUAGCUUCUCGGCUGAAUUUACAGGUUGUUCUUUUCCAGUUAGUUCUUUACAUGCAUGUGCCAAUAUUGUAGUAAUUCUAGUUAAUUUCUGUGAAUAAAGGUUUAAUCUCUUAUUUUGUGACAUUAUUUUCAGUUUUUUUUAAACAUGAUAUUUGUAAUGUUUUUGUGUGAUGCUUGUAGAUUUGGAGCAGUUUCUUAUCUUGGCACCUGCAUCCACUUUUUAUUGAACUGUAAGAUCUCUCUCAUUAUACUCUAUUGUGCUUCUAACAUUUAGAUGAAUGUUUUCUUUCUAGUUAGGAGUUGUUCAAGUAUAAAGAAGAAAUUCGGUGGAAAGUACAUAAGAAACAAAAGCUAAUGUUUACUCUAGAUUGGGCUUGGCGAGUCUCAAACUAAUUGUGAACAUAUUGGCCUGUUUGAAAAGUUGAACUAAACAACAUUGGUAAUAUUUGUUGUUCAAAAUCACGUAAAUGGAUGAAUUAAUUGGAGGGAAAAAAAUGGCCUAUGAGAUCGCAUAGGCAUUAUCG
rnacentral:lncRNA from 1 species